ACUUGACAAAUGCAAAAGCGGAGUAUAUUGCUCUGAUCAACUUAGUUAAAUGCUACGAAAUCUAUAAAGUUCUACAUUAGAUUUCAAACAUAUGCUGUUUUAAUAAAUAAGUAUAAAUAAACCACUUGAAAACAACGCAUUCUUGUUUUUGCUACUGUUUCUAUGUUCCUUCUUUUUCUUACGGCUUCUGCUUUCUGUCUUUCUUUCCACUCCGAUCAGUCUCUCUCAGGAGCUACUUUCUGCGUUUCUGAGAAUCACUUGGCGGACAAGCAAAAGCAGCUGCAACAAGCUAGAAGAAUUAAUCUGAAUAAUUGAUGGAGAGGAAUAUUUAUGUUAGUUGUGAAGGGGAAAGGAAUUGUGGAUAUGAGAAUGGGGUGAUGAUGACGAGAGACCCCAAACCAAGGUUGAGGUGGACGCCGGAUCUUCACGACAGAUUUGUCGAUGCUGUAACUAAACUCGGUGGCCCUGACAAAGCAACUCCAAAGUCUGUCUUGAGGGUCAUGACUCAUGGGAUUGAAUGGAUUAACUUUGUACCAUCUGAAAAGCGAUUUGCAGACUUGGACAGCAUGCUCGGAAACACAACUCCGUCGAAGAACAAAGCCGAGAGAAUAACGGGGAUUCAUAUGUACAUUUCAGUAAUCUUCAUUCCACAAGUUCUGGCAUCAAAUCAUCAGGAGGUGGGAAAACUGAACAAGGGUACGUGAAACCAGCACUUCUUGGUUCCGCUUUGAUUACAGCUUGGUAUACCAGUUCUUAAAUGCUAUUAAAAUUGCAUUCCUGUUAUGCAUUUCGUAUAGCCCUCCUCUAGUGGUGCUCUGGAUACUGUUGUUGCCAUCCAUGUCUUUCAUAUCACUUCGAAAAUUUACUUGCUUUUGUCUUUGUUCUUUUACAUUGUAUUUGUUUAAAGUUCAACCAUUCACAAAAGAUGCUUAAGCUAGUUAAUGAUCACAUGUUUUCUGUUUCGAUUGUUUCGAGCGCCUGGAUACUAAUUAACGGUAAUAUACUGAAACCACAACCAUUCCAUUGUCGGAGGCUCUCAAGUGUCAGAUUGAAGUACAAAACAGCUUGAGGUUCAAAAGAAGUUGCAGAUGAGAAUUGAAGCUCAAGAGAAGUACUUGCAAGCCAUAUUGGAGAAGGCCCAAAAGGGUCUCACCCUCGACGUAAAAGGGUCCCAUAAUAUAGAAGCAACAAGAGCACAAUUAACGGAU